rnacentral:rRNA from 1 species
AUGUCGGGGUCUCCUGUUGUUUCCCCUGUCGUUUCCCAAAUUCCUUCCACCGACCAGUCGUCCCUUCUUCCUCCCGCCGUGCGCGAAGCAGAUAUGUCCCACCAAUCAGACACAUCAUCCUGCUCGGAUGAUUCCGAUGACAGCACUACCAUUGACCCAACCGGCAUAUACACUAUGGAAGAUUUGAUUUCUGAACAAAGCAUCUUCCACAAUUUGCUUGAGCAGAUCAAUGUGAAGAUCCAGGCCAAAAUUAAACCUCAGCAAGCUGGUGCAUCUCGCCGUGGGAGUAGGAAGUACAUAGUGAGAAAUCGUGAAGAGGGCCAUGAACAACUUGUGGCUGAUUACUUCGCUGAGCAUCCAACCUACACUGACGAACAGUUCCGUACAAGGUACAGGAUGAGAAGGCCCCUCUUUCUACGUAUAGUCCGUGCCUUGGGAGAGUGGUCUCCCUAUUUCACAGAAAGGAGAGAUGGCCUUAAUCGUCAAGGACUCACACCUCUACAGAAGUGCACAGUAGCUAUUCGUAUAUUAGCAUUGGGUUCCCCCUCUGGCGUCACUGACAAAUACGUAGAAAUUGGUUUCAGCACAGUAAUGAACUGUUUGGAGCAGUUUGUGGAUGGGGUGAUCAACAUGUUUGGUGAAGAAUACUUGAGGAGCCCCACUAGUGUUGAUAUGCAGCGUCUUCUACAAAUGGGUGAGACCCGUGGGUUCCCUGGUAUGCUGGGAAGCAUUGGCUGUAUGCACUGGGAGUGGAAAAAUUGCCCAGUUAAAUGGGUGCGUCAUCUUACUCACAGUGAUCACGGUGUUGUUAAUAUCAUUCUUGAAGCAGUUGCUUCACAAGACCUCUGGAUAUGGCACGCUUUCUUUGGUGUUGUUGGGUCUCACAGUGAUAUUACCAUGCUGAAUCAAUCACAUUUGUUCACCGAUGUCUUGAAAGGUCAAGGUCCUCAUGUGCAAUUCUCCAUCAACAGGAGGCAGUACAGUAUGGGUUACUAUCUUGCUGAUGGUACAUACCCAGAAUGGCCUGUCUUCAUUAAGGCGAUGCCCCUCCCUCAAACUGAAAAGGAUCAAUUAUUCGCACAAUAUCAAAAAGGAGCAAGGAAUGAUGUCCAACGAGCAUUUAGACUCCUAGAAUCACGUUUUCCCAUCGUGCGUGGCCCAACAAAAUUCUUCCAGAAGGCAACUCUAGGCAAAAUCAUGCAGGUUUGCAUCAUACUACAUAACAUGACACUUGAGGAUGAGCAAGAUAGGGCAAGUGCUUGUUUCGACUCGAAUGAAAUUUCAGAGAAACCGGUUGCUCCACUGUCAAACAUUAAAUAUGGACCUACUGAUCAUUUUGCUGAUUUACUUCGGAGAAAUGCUAGUAUUUGUGCAAACUCAACAGAUAACCAACUCCGAAGAGAUUUAGUCGAGCAUGUUUGGCAGCGAUUUGGGCCAUUUGGCGACACGUAA